GUUAUCCAAAAUAUGAAUUUUAGUUCGACUUUAAAUUUAAUUAAAUUACCAAUAAACCUAACUUAAAUUUAAAAGCUAAUCAAAAGGGGGACAACUCUUUUGAUCAUGUAAACAAACUUUAUUAGAGGAUAAUGAAUACCAAAAACCAUUGUAGGCCCAAAAGCAGCCACCAAUUAAGAAAGCGUUAAAGCUCAAAUACACCAACAAACCUUAAUCCCAAAAAUACCGUCAAAAUCCCUAACAUAGACUAUUGGAUGAUUCUAUAACCCUAUAGAAGACAUAAUGCUAAAAUAAGUAACAAGAAACAUUUCUCCUAGCACGAGCCUAAAUUAGCAACGGAACACCCACUAACAAUUAACAAAUCAAUAAUUUCAAUCAAAUAACUAGCAAAAUUCUUACAACCAUUGUUAACCCAACACAGGAGUGCUAACAGGAAAGAUUAAAAGGAAUAAAAGGAACUCGGCAAAUACAAACCCCGCCUGUUUACCAAAAACAUCACCUCUAGCAUAACAAAUAUUAGAGGCAACGCCUGCCCAGUGAGCUCACACUUUAACGGCCGCGGUAUCCUG
rnacentral:rRNA from 1 species